AAAAACUCCGGUGGUGUGAGAUGGAUCCGCGUCUGAUUAGCCAGUUGGCGGGGUAACGGCCCACCAAAGCGACGAUCAGUAGCCGGCCUGAGAGGGUGACCGGCCACAUUGGGACUGAGACACGGCCCAAACUCCUACGGGAGGCAGCAGUGGGGAAUAUUGCACAAUGGGCGAAAGCCUGAUGCAGCGACGCCGCGUGAGUGAAGAAGUAUUUCGGUAUGUAAAGCUCUAUCAGCAGGGAAGAAAAUGACGGUACCUGACUAAGAAGCCCCGGCUAACUACGUGCCAGCAGCCGCGGUAAUACGUAGGGGGCAAGCGUUAUCCGGAUUUACUGGGUGUAAAGGGAGCGUAGACGGCGAAGCAAGUCUGAAGUGAAAACCCAGGGCUCAACCCUGGGACUGCUUUGGAAACUGUUUUGCUAGAGUGUCGGAGAGGUAAGUGGAAUUCCUAGUGUAGCGGUGAACUGCGUAGAUAUUAGGAGGAACACCAGUGGCGAAGGCGGCUUACUGGACGAUAACUGACGUUGAGGCUCGAAAGCGUGGG
rnacentral:rRNA from 1 species